rnacentral:tRNA from 1 species
GGGGCUGUCGUUCAGCGGCCAAGGACACUGGCCUGUCACGCCAGAGAUCGCGGGUUCGAAUCCCGUCAGCCCCGCCA